CUACGGGAGGCAGCAGUGGGGAAUAUUGGACAAUGGGGGCAACCCUGAUCCAGCCAUGCCGCGUGUGUGAAGAAGGCCCUCGGGUUGUAAAGCACUUUCAGCGAGGAAGAACGCCUAGCGGUUAAUACCCGCUAGGAAAGACAUCACUCGCAGAAGAAGCACCGGCUAACUCCGUGCCAGCAGCCGCGGUAAUACGGAGGGUGCAAGCGUUAAUCGGAAUUACUGGGCGUAAAGCGCGCGUAGGUGGCUUGAUAAGCCGGUUGUGAAAGCCCCGGGCUCAACCUGGGAACGGCAUCCGGAACUGUCAAGCUAGAGUGCAGGAGAGGAAGGUAGAAUUCCCGGUGUAGCGGUGAAAUGCGUAGAGAUCGGGAGGAAUACCAGUGGCGAAGGCGGCCUUCUGGACUGACACUGACACUGAGGUGCGGAAGCGUGGGUAGCAAACAGGAUUAGAUACCCUGGUAGUCCACGCCGUAAACGAUGUCGACCAGCCGUUGGGUGCCUAGCGCACUUUGUGGCGAAGUUAACGCGAUAAGUCGACCGCCUGGGGAGUACGGCCGCAAGGUUAAAACUCAAAUGAAUUGACGGA
rnacentral:rRNA from 1 species